rnacentral:snoRNA from 1 species
UGGAAAUGAGGACAAAACGCAAACGUCUGAAUUUUAUGAAGACUUCUAAUCCAACUCUGAUCCCAACACUGUG